GACGAACGCUGGCGGCGUGUUUAACACAUGCAAGUCGAACGGAAAGGCCCUGCUUUUGUGGGGUGCUCGAGUGGCGAACGGGUGAGUAACACGUGAGUAACCUGCCCUUGACUUUGGGAUAACUUCAGGAAACUGGGGCUAAUACCGGAUAGGAGCUCCUGCUGCAUGGUGGGGGUUGGAAAGUUUCGGCGGUUGGGGAUGGACUCGCGGCUUAUCAGCUUGUUGGUGGGGUAGUGGCUUACCAAGGCUUUGACGGGUAGCCGGCCUGAGAGGGUGACCGGCCACAUUGGGACUGAGAUACGGCCCAGACUCCUACGGGAGGCAGCAGUGGGGAAUAUUGCACAAUGGGCGGAAGCCUGAUGCAGCAACGCCGCGUGCGGGAUGACGGCCUUCGGGUUGUAAACCGCUUUCGCCUGUGACGAAGCGUGAGUGACGGUAAUGGGUAAAGAAGCACCGGCUAACUACGUGCCAGCAGCCGCGGUGAUACGUAGGGUGCGAGCGUUGUCCGGAUUUAUUGGGCGUAAAGGGCUCGUAGGUGGUUGAUCGCGUCGGAAGUGUAAUCUUGGGGCUUAACCCUGAGCGUGCUUUCGAUACGGGUUGACUUGAGGAAGGUAGGGGAGAAUGGAAUUCCUGGUGGAGCGGUGGAAUGCGCAGAUAUCAGGAGGAACACCAGUGGCGAAGGCGGUUCUCUGGGCCUUUCCUGACGCUGAGGAGCGAAAGCGUGGGGAGCGAACAGGCUUAGAUACCCUGGUAGUCCACGCUGUAAACGGUGGGUACUAGGUGUGGGGUCCAUUCCACGGGUUCCGUGCCGUAGCUAACGCUUUAAGUACCCCGCCUGGGGAGUACGGCCGCAAGGCUAAAACUCAAAGGAAUUGACGGGGCCCCGCACAAGCGGCGGAGCAUGCGGAUUAAUUCGAUGCAACGCGUAGAACCUUACCUGGGUUUGACAUGGAUCGGGAGUGCUCAGAGAUGGGUGUGCCUCUUUUGGGGUCGGUUCACAGGUGGUGCAUGGCUGUCGUCAGCUCGUGUCGUGAGAUGUUGGGUUAAGUCCCGCAACGAGCGCAACCCUUGUUCACUGUUGCCAGCACGUUAUGGUGGGGACUCAGUGGAGACCGCCGGGGUCAACUCGGAGGAAGGUGGGGAUGACGUCAAGUCAUCAUGCCCCUUAUGUCCAGGGCUUCACGCAUGCUACAAUGGCUGGUACAGAGAGUGGCGAGCCUGUGAGGGUGAGCGAAUCUCGGAAAGCCGGUCUCAGUUCGGAUUGGGGUCUGCAACUCGACCUCAUGAAGUCGGAGUCGCUAGUAAUCGCAGAUCAGCAACGCUGCGGUGAAUACGUUCCCGGG
rnacentral:rRNA from 1 species